rnacentral:rRNA from 1 species
UAAAGAGGUCUCAAGCGUUGUUCGGAUUCAUUGGGCGUAAAGGGUGCGUAGGCGGCGCGGUAAGUCGGGUGUGAAAUCUUGGAGCUUAACUCCGAAACUGCAUUCGAUACUGCCGUGCUUGAGGACUGGAGAGGAGACUGGAAUUUACGGUGUAGCGGUGAAAUGCGUAGAUAUCGCAAGGAAGACCAGUGGCGAAGGCGGGUCUCUGGACAGUUCCUGACGCUGAGGCACGAAGGCCAGGGGAGCAAACGGG